rnacentral:lncRNA from 1 species
AGAGAGGCUAGCAUAUGAGUGGAGUAAAAGAGGAGAAUGUUUGUUCUUGUGUCCGUCCCCUUUCUUUCCCCCCAGGUUCCCUUUUAUAGAAGGAUAUUAUGUUACCUGAGAGGUGACAGGGUAAAUUGUCUUUUUGUGAUAAUUGGGCACGAUCAUGCUCAUUAAUGGCGUUGUGGAGAAUAAGACCGGAUCAGACCGGAGUCAACGAACUGUCAUGGUUGAUCGGACCUGUUGGAGUGGCUGAACCGCCGGCCGUGGUGGGCUUGGGGUUCGCAGAUAGCAAGUGCAUUAAUUGCUGAGUGAACCGGUGAUCAGGGAGAUGUUGGAUCCCGUUUAAUUAAACCUUGAUCCCGUUUAAUUAAAACCCACAUUUGACAAGUGUCCUUGAAUUUCGUAAAUCUUGAUAAUCACAAGGGCAUUAAGGUAUUUUCACAGCAGUGAAGGGUUACCUUGAUGGGGGGUGACUCUUCACGGGUGUAACCACCUGCAGCGUUUGGUCCCUGGAGAGGGCUAUAAAUAGCCUGUUAGACCCCUUCUCUAAAGCACGCAUUAAGGGCUCUCUCUCCAGAAGAUCUCUCGCUAAUCUUUGUUCAGAUCAUCGGUGAUCGAGGCUGCGCACGCAUUCCAAAGUUUAAUCCACAGCCUUCCAAAGUUUAAUCCGGAUGGAUUUAGCGAAUCAAGGUAUGAUUUAUUAUUCAUAAUCCACAGCCUUCCAAAGUUUAAUCCAGAUGGAUUUAG